UACAGAGGUCUCAAGCGUUGUUCGGAUUCAUUGGGCGUAAAGGGUGUGUAGGUGGCGCGCUAAGUCGGGUGUGAAAUCUCGAGGCUCAACUUCGAGCUGUCGGUGGAAACUGUCUGGCUAGAGUCCGGAAGAGGAGAAUGGAAUUCCUGGUGUAGCGGUGAAAUGCGCAGAUAUCAGGAAGAACACCCGUGGCGAAGGCGGUUCUCUGGGACGGUACUGACGCUGAGACGCGAAAGCGUGGGGAGCGAACAGG
rnacentral:rRNA from 1 species